rnacentral:rRNA from 1 species
GAUGAACGCUGGCGGCGUGCCUAAUACAUGCAAGUCGAGCGAACAGAUGAGGGGCUUGCUCCUCUGACGUUAGCGGCGGACGGGUGAGUAACACGUGGAUAACCUACCUAUAAGACUGGGAUAACUUCGGGAAACCGGAGCUAAUACCGGAUAAUAUAUUGAACCGCAUGGUUCAAUAGUGAAAGACGGUUUUGCUGUCACUUAUAGAUGGAUCCGCGCCGCAUUAGCUAGUUGGUAAGGUAACGGCCUACCAAGGCAACGAUGCGUAGCCGACCUGAGAGGGUGACCGGCCACACUGGAACUGAGACACGGUCCAGACUCCUACGGGAGGCAGCAGUAGGGAAUCUUCCGCAAUGGGCGAAAGCCUGACGGAGCAACGCCGCGUGAGUGAUGAAGGUCUUCGGAUCGUAAAGCUCUGUUAUUAGGGAAGAACAAAUGUGUAAGUAACUAUGCACGUCUUGACGGUACCUAAUCAGAAAGCCACGGCUAACUACGUG